UGAUCGGUUCCACAUUUAGGAGAAGUAUUUGUGUGUGUCGGAAUGUAACCCACACCACGCAUUGGUACCACGGAACACAGCACACAUUGAAAAACGUUUACGGUACCGUCUCGCCGUCCGCUCCAUUUCGUACAUCUCACUCACAAGCAUAGCCUUUCAUACAGAGAACGCGUCUAAUCCAUUCAUCUUACUCCCACUCGACUAUUUAACAUACAAACUGACGGAUUCGAAGUCGUCAGGGACGAAGAACACCUAGAUCAAAAGUGGUGUGGAAAAUGGGCGCGGUGAUGGCGUUUAUGGCACUCAGUUGAAUGGCGGCAGCGAGAGCGUUCCCCUGCGGCCGGCGCGAUCGACAGAAAGAAACAUGUUUGUGAUACCGCGGGCGCUGAGCAACGGAGAUUCCUUGGAGGUCUCUUGCACUAUCAAUGAUCCUAACAGAUUCACUGCUAAUUUGUUGACGGGAUCACCAAGGCCAGAUAAUAAUAAUAUUGCCUGUCAAAUAGACAGUGAUUUCCAGAGAAAUGAAAUAACUGUCAGAGUGAUAGAAAAUGGUCAGCAAGCCAUUCCAGAAUCUGAUCAGGUCAAAGGACAAGCCAAUGGUAUGAUGUCAGGUUCCUCAGAUGUCUUGUUAGAAUUCAAAUUUGAAGGAGGCUACGGAAGAACUACUUUGGAAAUGUAUAUAAAUAGAUCAUUUUUAGAUGUUCUUGAAUUGAAACAUGAUGUUGAAAAAAUAACAUUUUUGGAAAUGUUAGGAGAUGUGAAGGUUACCGGACUAAAUUUUAAAUUUGCUUAAUAAUCUUGUGCAUAAUAUUUAUGUACACAUAUUUUUUUAGAUAAUCAAUAUAAUCAUCAACAAUUCACUAUCUCACAAUUUUGAACCCAUUUUAAAUAGUUAUGAAAAUACUUUUACAUAUUUUUUGUUUAAUAAACACUUCACAAUAGUUACAUGUUAGAUUAUAAUUAUAAUGCUUAAAGGUUGUGUCAAAAUUGAUAACUGGUAUUAUUUGUGCACAUUCUGAGAUAUUUGUUGUAAUAUUGAUCCCAUGGAUGCUUGUUGUAAUUAUUAUAGUGAUGACGCAUUUGGUAUUAAGUAAUGUAUGUGAAAUUACUUAUUUCAUAAAUUACUUAUUUAUAUUCAAGUACAAUAAUUGAAUAGUUAUAAUCACGACUGUAUUAAUUAGGAUGAUUAUUUAUUAAAUGUCUUUAUUUUAUUUUGCUUGUUAUAAAUUUAUUUAUUUAAACUUUAUUGCACGAUAUAAAAUUGUAUAAAUGGCGGACUUAAUGCCUUAAGACAUUCUCUACCAGUCAACCAUAAUCAUAAUCAUAAUAGCCUUUAUUGCCGAAACUAAAACAGUAUUACAUUACAUUUAUAAACAAAUUUACUUAAAAACUAACAGAUCGUGUUGUCCGGAUUAGUGUUCAGCGUGUCUUCUGACACAAAGGCCUCUCCCAGCUGUUUCCAUUCCUUUCUAUUAAUGGCUUUCCUGGUCCAGGUGGCAGGCUGGACCAGUCAACCAUAAAUGUUCAUAAAAGAAAUUAAUUAAACCUCAUACAGCCCUUUUUUUGACACCGAGCUGAAGUCAUGAACGUUACGAUCUUAACGCCACAGAAAUAUAAGAUGUAGGGUCUCGGGCACGACAUUCGGUCAACGUAAUUUAGUCUUCCGCGCUCAUGAGGUUAAAUUUUUUGGCCCACUGUUCCGCAUGUAUUAACAGCAAUUAACUGACCAUCUGUGAACCUUAUGUAUUUGUAAUACGGUUUACGGAUAGUCAGUCAACAGUGUGGACAGAUAGUAUUAACAGACUCGUGCUAUCUUGGCCCUUGAGUAACAGACGUCACACCCACAUAUGCAAAGCCAGUUCUGGAUGGAACUUCGUAGUUCGUGUUUCUGAUACGAUCUGCUGUUGUCUAUUAUCAAACAGGAUAUUUAUGGUGUACUUGUUUAUAAUAUGUUGCAUCUGAUGUUGUAUUUUUAAACGCUUAUUUUAUUUUAUGCAGUAACACAUAGAUUUGUAUUUUUAGUUAUGUACCUAUUGCUAAAUGUAAUUCUGUAUAUAACAACCUGACAGUUGGGUAAGUGUUAAGUGUGUUAACACUUUCAGUGCCCAUUUCUAAUACAAAAUGAACACACCUGGCGUGUUCUUGGCAGUAAAUGUGUUAAUAAACUUGUCAUGCGAUGGUGCCGUUGCUCUGUACAGCUACGAGUAUGAUUACUUAAGGCAGGGGUCUCCAAACCCCGGCGCGCGGGCCAAAUCCGGCUCGCGACGCGUUCCAAUCCGGCCCGCCGACCCCUGACUUAUGGUAUAGAAUUUAACUUUAUACAAAACGAGUGAUUUUGAAUUCUAAGUUUUCCAAUGACACUUACGGUGAUUGAUAUGCUUGUAUAUUAAUGUUAAUUAGUUAGGUAUUAUGUUAUUAAUAUAAUCCCACCGUUGUAAACGCUAUCAGGAUAUAAAUUGUGCAAUUGUUUUUUUUUACAAUCAGUACACCAUGAUAUAAGUUGAUUAGAUGUAAAAAACACCUAUCUAUGUAAAAAAACUUACAUAUCUUUAGGCUCUUGUCGGACCGGUGGCGAAAAAAAACUUAAUAACACUUAAUAGUCCUUUAACUGUAAACUUAAAUUUAAUAACACUGUCCAAUGAAUAACAGAAACAGAAUGUUUGGAAUUGUAGAAAAGGUUUAAAAAGUUAAAUAAUUGUCUUAAAUACGUGUAUGUUUUAUGUAUUUCCUGAAAUAUAGAUAAGCAUUUAGUCCCGCAUUGUCACUAAUUUGUGUAUGUGUUAUACUGUGCCUUAUACACUGUUAGUAGUGUUAGUAUUAUAUAAAGAUUAAGCUGUAACUGUAGUUGUUUGUACUAGCAAUAAAUACUAGUGUUUAAAGCAGUUUACACUUCAAACCAAGCCUUCAGUAAACAGAUAAAAUACGUUACAUUUCAAUGCGUCAACUCAUAACUCCCAUGUCUGUAACGUUAACACGUUUACAAAUCCAAAUAAAGGAUGUUUAAAAUAGAUUGUCAAUUCUCAAUAGUUUCACCCUCAACUUUUAAAGUUUACGUGUGACACAUAACAAGAUAAGACGCGUUAUACAUAUAGGUAUAUUUAUUAUUACGAGUACUUCAGUUACCUACUUUAACCGAGCUUUCGUGUAUUGUAUAGGUAUUAAAUAUUGUGAUACGCAUUUAGAUUUUCGAGUAUUACUUCAACUGGUUGUAAUAACAUUUGAAAAGUGGUAACCAGUAUUGUUAUUUAUUUUUGGCGUUUGAUUUAGGAAGCUUCAACGCGUAUUCAGUUUUAGCAGUUUAUGUUUAUGUAUACGGUAGAAUAUUAUUUUUGCAUCACAG